GACGAACGCUGGCGGCGUGCUUAACACAUGCAAGUCGAACGAUGAAGCCGGAGCUUGCUCUGGUGAAUUAGUGGCGAACGGGUGAGUAACACGUGAGUAACCUGCCCUUGACUCUGGGAUAACUGCGGGAAACUGUAGCUAAUACCGGAUACGACCCUCGGAGGCAUCUCCUGGGGGUGGAAAGAAUUUCGGUCAAGGAUGGACUCGCGGCCUAUCAGCUAGUUGGUGAGGUAAAGGCUCACCAAGGCGACGACGGGUAGCCGGCCUGAGAGGGUGACCGGCCACACUGGGACUGAGACACGGCCCAGACUCCUACGGGAGGCAGCAGUGGGGAAUAUUGCACAAUGGGCGCAAGCCUGAUGCAGCAACGCCGCGUGAGGGAUGACGGCCUUCGGGUUGUAAACCUCUUUUAGCAGGGAAGAAGCGAAAGUGACGGUACCUGCAGAAAAAGCACCGGCUAACUACGUGCCAGCCGCCGCCGUAACAC
rnacentral:rRNA from 1 species